rnacentral:snRNA from 1 species
GUGCUCACUUUGGUAGCACGUGCACUGAAAUUGGAACUAUACAGAGAAGAUUAAUGUGGCCCCUGUGCAAGGAUGA